rnacentral:rRNA from 1 species
GGGGAAUAUUGGACAAUGGGCGCAAGCCUGAUCCAGCCAUGCCGCGUGAGUGAAGAAGGCCUUCGGGUUGUAAAGCCCUGUGGAGGGGGACGAAUAAGUGUUGGCUAAUAUCCAGCAUGAUGACGGUACCCCUUUAGCAAGCACCGGCUAACUCUGUGCCAGCAGCCGCGGUAAGACAGAGGGGGCAAGCGUUGCUCGGAAUCACUGGGCGUAAAGGGCGUGUAGGCGGGAGCGUGAGUCGGUCGUGAAAUCCUUCGGCUCAACCGAAGAAGGGCGGCCGAUACUGCGUUCCUUGAGGGGUGGAGAGGAGACUGGAAUUCCCGGUGUAGCGGUGAAAUGUGUAGAUAUCGGGAGGAACACCGGUGGCGAAGGCGGGUCUCUGGCCACACCCUGACGCUGAGGCGCGAAAGCGUGGGGAGCAAA